rnacentral:rRNA from 1 species
GAGGAAAAGAAACUAACAAGGAUUCCCCUAGUAACGGCGAGUGAAGCGGGAAGAGCUCAAGCUUAAAAUCUCCAUGUUUUGCAUGGCGAAUUGUAGUCUAUUGAGGCUGUUGUCAGCAUAGCGAUCCGGGACAAGUCCCUUGGAAAAGGGCAGCAUAGAGGGUGAUACUCCCGUCUCUGCUCGGAUUUGCCGUGUGUACGAUACGCUUUCUUUGAGUCGAUUUGUUUGGGAAUACAGAUCAAAGUAGGUGGUAAAUUCCAUCUAAAGCUAAAUAUUGGUGCGAGACCGAUAGCGAACAAGUACCGUGAGGGAAAGAUGAAAAGAACUUUGAAAAGAGAGUUAAAGAGUACCUGAAACUGGUCAGAGGGAACCGUAUCGCUUCCAGUGUUGUAUCCUGUGCAUAUUUCAUUAGCGGAGUAAUUUGCUGGUGCCCUGUGCAUGGGUGUGACGUCAGAGUCAGUUUGUAUGCUGCGGGAGAUGGUCAGUGAGGAGGUGCGUCACUUCGGUGAAAGUUAUACCUUGCUGUCUAGUAGCCGUGGUUGAGACUGAGGUGCCUACAACAUGCCUUGAGGUUUGGUGCUGUCUUGUUUUGGUGACUGCUUGGAUAGCUUGCUAUGUCUGCGGUUAAUCAGAGCAAUUGAUGGUGCCAAUAACCUCUGCUGUUCGGGACUCUGGCGAAAUGGAGCGUUACNACCCGUCUUGA